GCGGGCCUGGGAGGGCUGCCUGCACUCCUGCAGUCUGGAGGGGGGACUCAUAAAGGAGGUGAUACAUCAUACUAUGUCACUCAGAGGGAAGUAAAUAAAUGUAUCAAAGGGUGACAUUAAUGUAAAACCAAGCUACAGAAAUAAUCGCCAACUGUCUGUGCAUUAAAGCUCAUUCAUCAGGCAUUUAGGGUGAAUGACAGUGACAGCCAAUAUAGCUGAACAGCACAUGUAGAGAUAAUAACAUCAUAUAACCUUCCCAAGUGACAAUUCCCCGGCCUGGGCUUGUGGCGCAGAGUGGCUGUUGGAGAGCUUCUCCCUGGAUUGAGCAGAAUGUGGGAUAACUCCCAGAAGAGGGGAAGGACUCAAUUCAGCGUCAUGAGCUCCACAUGUGGCAGCCAAUCACAGUAGCCCGGCAUUAUACGUUUUCCCGCGCACCGCUUUGGGGCGAUGGAGGUGAUUGUCAGUUCAGAGGAAUGGCCGAAGUCUGAACCAGGAGAUCACAAGAAGCAGUUCCAAGGGAAUAGGCCAGGAGAGUCGUCAGACAGACCGGAGCAGAACACUGAGAAUGUACUGGGACCAGACGCUGGAGUACAGAUUAUACAAUCCUCUGGGAAUCUGUGGAGUCAUGAAAUUUUCUUUUUGUUCCUGUCACAAGAAUAACAAUCAUUUUAAUUAUCAAAAAAAGAAGAAAACCCGGGAAACCUAUUGAACUAUUGAUGGACGUUUCCGCUGGUUUUCGGCUAUUAGCGGUAAUUUACACCGAUACUGGAAAUAUCAUUGUUUGAUAAACAAAGUAACUUUUGAUUUGCUGGAUGCUCCCUAACUUGCACCUCAUACGGAAAAAAUUCUGUCAAGAGUGCGGGAGAUUGUCAGAGUGAUGUGACUGAAGCCGAAACGAAAACGUACCACAGGUCCUGGGCUAUAGAAAACCUCUAAUAUGUUAUGAAAUAUUGGAGAAUUAAGCAAUUGGAUCAGCCACAAUACAGACAACAGGUGGUAGAACAUGGUCAUCACUGGCAACUGCACAUUCUUUAUCACUUACUGCAAUCAGUACUUUGUUAUAGAACACAUGAGUCAGAAGUAAGAGCCCUCGCCUGUGUGCAGCCUUUAUAAGGCCCUCCCUCUUUCACAGACAUUUGUUUGGCUGUUUAUCAAUUUUGACUUCAUCGCUCAUGAGUUUACUUUUUCCAUUCGAUCAACUUUGACGUUUUCCCCUCACUAUUUUCGCUUCUCUAUCCCAUCAGCCUCAGCUUCAUUCCCCACAAUUCUACAUUCUCCACUGCAUUGAUUUUGUUUUGUCCCUCUCUAUUAAACCUUCUCUAAUACUGUCAAUUGACUUCGCAUUCAUCCCUGGUUAUUCUACCUUCUCUAACUGAUUGAUUUGGCUUUGUCCCUCACUUUUCUACCACUAUUCCCCAUCAAUUUCAGAUCCAGUCCUCACAAUUCUACCUCUUUCAGUGCAUUAACUUUUAUUUGUCCCUCAUGAUGCCACGUGAACCAAUGCAUCGACUUUGACUUCAUCGUUUUCUACAAUACUUCUGUAAUUCAUUGACUUCACCCUUGUCCCUCACGCUCUACCUUCUCUAACCCAUGGGCUUGACUCUUUUGACUCUCCAUCUCUAACUAUUGAACUUUAGCUUUGAUUCUACUUUCUCUCACCCAUUGACUUUGACUUCAUCCUUCACUAUUCUCCUUCUCUAACACAAUGAUUUUGGCUUCAUCCUUCACUAUUCUCUUUCUCUAAACCCACUGACUUUGGCUUCAUCCCUCACUAUUCGACUUCUCUAACCCAUUGACUUUGUCUUCAUCCUUCACUAUUCUCCUUCUCUAACCCAUUGACUUUAUACCUUAUGAUU